rnacentral:rRNA from 1 species
GUAAAACGGGGCGGCCCGCCGCAGGACCCAUAAACCCUGAAUUUUUAUUGUAACUUCUGAGUUUAAAAAACAAAUAAAUCAAAACUUUCAACAACGGAUCUCUUGGUUCUGGCAUCGAUGAAGAACGCAGCAAAAUGCGAUAAGUAAUGUGAAUUGCAGAAUUCAGUGAAUCAUCGAAUCUUUGAACGCACAUUGCGCCCGCCAGUAUUCUGGCGGGCAUGCCUGUUCGAGCGUCAUUUCAACCCUCAAGCCCCCGGGUUUGGUGUUGGGGAUCGGGCUGCGGUUCUGCCGCGUCCCGGCCCCGAAAUCUAGUGGCGGUCUCGCUGCAGCCUCCAUUGCGUAGUAGCUAACACCUCGCAACUGGAACGCGGCGCGGCCAAGCCGUUAAACCCCCAACUUCUGAAUGUGACCUCGGAUCAGGUAGAACCCGGCUUCCCC